AUACCUUUCUCGGCUUUUGGUUAAGAUCAAGUGUAGUAUCUGUUCUUAUCAGUUUGAUAUCUGAUAUGUGAGGUAUACUCUUACAAUGAUAUCAAAUUUAUUUUUUAUGAGGAAGGGUCAACCAUA
rnacentral:snRNA from 1 species